rnacentral:rRNA from 1 species
UACGAAGGGGGGCGAGCGUUGUUCGGAAUUACUGGGCGUAAAGGGCGCGCAGGCGGCUCUGAAAGUCAGAUGUGAAAGCCCCGGGCUUAACCUGGGAAUUGCAUUUGAUACUCUGGAGCUUGAGUACGGGAGAAGAGAGUGGAAUUCCCAGUGUAGAGGUGAAAUUCGUAGAUAUUGGGAAGAACACCGGUGGCGAAGGCGGCUCUCUGGACCGUAACUGACGCUGAGGCGCGAAAGCGUGGGGAGCAAACAGG